rnacentral:rRNA from 1 species
ACGGAGAGUUUGAUCCUGGCUCAGGAUGAACGCUGGCGGCGUGCUUAACACAUGCAAGUCGAACGAACCUUCGGGUUAGUGGCGGACGGGUGAGUAACGCGUGAGAAUCUGCCCUCAGGAGGGGGAUAACAGCUGGAAACGGCUGCUAAUACCCCAUAUGCCGCGAGGUGAAAUGAAUUUCGCCUGAGGAUGAGCUCGCGUCUGAUUAGCUAGUUGGUGUAGGUAAAGGCUCACCAAGGCAUCGAUCAGUAGCUGGUCUGAGAGGAUGAUCAGCCACACUGGGACUGAGACACGGCCCAGACUCCUACGGGAGGCAGCAGUGGGGAAUUUUCCGCAAUGGGCGAAAGCCUGACGGAGCAACGCCGCGUGAGGGAUGAAGGCCUCUGGGCUGUAAACCUCUUUUAUCAAGGAAGAAGAUCUGACGGUACUUGAUGAAUAAGCCACGGCUAAUUCCGUGCCAGCAGCCGCGGUAAUACGGGAGUGGCAAGCGUUAUCCGGAAUUAUUGGGCGUAAAGCGUCCGCAGGCGGCCCAGAAAGUCUGCUGUUAAAACGUGGAGCUUAACUCCAUCAUGGCAGUGGAAACUGUUGGGCUUGAGUGUGGUAGGGGCAGAGGGAAUUCCCGGUGUAGCGGUGAAAUGCGUAGAUAUCGGGAAGAACACCAGUGGCGAAGGCGCUCUGCUGGGCCAUAACUGACGCUCAUGGACGAAAGCCAGGGGAGCGAAAGGGAUUAGAUACCCCUGUAGUCCUGGCCGUAAACGAUGAACACUAGGUGUCGGGGGAAUCGACCCCCUCGGUGUCGUAGCCAACGCGUUAAGUGUUCCGCCUGGGGAGUACGCACGCAAGUGUGAAACUCAAAGGAAUUGACGGGGGCCCGCACAAGCGGUGGAGUAUGUGGUUUAAUUCGAUGCAACGCGAAGAACCUUACCAGGGUUUGACAUCCUGCGAACCUCUUGGAAACGAGAGGGUGCCUUCGGGAACGCAGUGACAGGUGGUGCAUGGCUGUCGUCAGCUCGUGUCGUGAGAUGUUGGGUUAAGUCCCGCAACGAGCGCAACCCACGUCUUUAGUUGCCAGCAUUUAGUUGGGCACUCUAGAGAGACCGCCGGUGAUAAACCGGAGGAAGGUGUGGAUGACGUCAAGUCAUCAUGCCCCUUACAUCCUGGGCUACACACGUACUACAAUGCUACGGACAAAGGGCAGCAAGUUCGCGAGGACAAGCAAAUCCCAUAAACCGUGGCUCAGUUCAGAUCGUAGGCUGCAACUCGCCUACGUGAAGGAGGAAUCGCUAGUAAUCGCAGGUCAGCAUACUGCGGUGAAUACGUUCCCGGGCCUUGUACACACCGCCCGUCACACCAUGGAAGUUGGCCACGCCCGAAGCCGUUACUCCAACCCUUGUGGAGGAGGACGUCGAAGGUGGGGCUGAUGACUGGGGUGAAGUCGUAACAAGGUAUCCGUACCGGAAGGUGCGGAUGGAUCACCUCCUAAC